rnacentral:rRNA from 1 species
UAACGCGUGAGGAACCUGCCUUUCAGUGGGGGACAACAGUUGGAAACGACUGCUAAUACCGCAUGAUGCUUUUGGGAGACAUCUCCUGGAAGCCAAAGCUUUAUGUGCUGAAAGAUGGCCUCGCGUCUGAUUAGCUAGUUGGUGAGGUAACGGCUCACCAAGGCGACGAUCAGUAGCCGGUCUGAGAGGAUGAACGGCCACAUUGGGACUGAGAUACGGCCCAGACUCCUACGGGAGGCAGCGGUGGGGAAUAUUGGGCAAUGGGGGAAACCCUGACCCAGCAACGCCGCGUGAAGGAAGAAGGCCUUCGGGUUGUAAACUUCUUUUACCAGGGACGAAGGACGUGACGGUACCUGGAGAAAAAGCAACGGCUAACUACGUGCCAGCAGCCGCGGUAAUACGUAGGUUGCAAGCGUUGUCCGGAUUUACUGGGUGUAAAGGGCGUGUAGGCGGAGAUGCAAGUUGGGAGUGAAAUCCAUGGGCUCAACCCAUGAACUGCUCUCAAAACUGUAUCCCUUGAGUAUCGGAGAGGCAAGCGGAAUUCCUAGUGUAGCGGUGAAAUGCGUAGAUAUUAGGAGGAACACCAGUGGCGAAGGCGGCUUGCUGGACGACAACUGACGCUGAGGCGCGAAAGCGUGGGGAGCAAACAGGAUUAGAUACCCUGGUAGUCCACGCUGUAAACGAUGAAUACUAGGUGU